AGAGUUUGAUCAUGGCUCAGAUUGAACGCUGGCGGCGUGCUUAACACAUGCAAGUCGAUCGGUAACGCGGGGGCAACCCUGGCGACGAGAGGCGGACGGGUGAGGAACGCUUGGGAAUCUGCCCAUCAGCGGGGGACAACCCGGGGAAACCCGGGCUAAUACCGCAUACGCUCCACGGAGGAAAGCCGGGGACCGCAAGGCCUGGCACUGGUGGAUGAGCCCAAGUCGGAUUAGCUAGUUGGCGGGGUAACGGCCCACCAAGGCGACGAUCCGUAGCUGGUCUGAGAGGACGAUCAGCCACACCGGAACUGAGACACGGUCCGGACUCCUACGGGAGGCAGCAGUGGGGAAUAUUGGACAAUGGGCGAAAGCCUGAUCCAGCGACGCCGCGUGGGUGAAGAAGGCCUGCGGGUUGUAAAGCCCUUUCGGUAGGGACGAAAGCUCUUGCCUUAAUACGGCAGGAGGUUGACUUAACCUACAUAAGAAGCACCGGCUAACUCUGUGCCAGCAGCCGCGGUAAUACAGAGGGUGCGAGCGUUAAUCGGAAUUACUGGGCGUAAAGCGCACGUAGUCGGCUCUGCAAGUCGGGUGUGAAAUCCCCGGGCUCAACCUGGGAACUGCAUUCGAGACUGCAUUGCUAGAGUAUGGGAGAGGGAAGCGGAAUUUCUGGUGUAGCAGUGAAAUGCGUAGAUAUCAGAAGGAACAUCAGUGGCGAAGGCGGCUUCCUGGACCAAUACUGACGAUCAGGUGUGAAAGCGUGGGGAGCAAACAGGAUUAGAUACCCUGGUAGUCCACGCCCUAAACGAUGAGAACUGGAUGUCGGGAGGGUUUGCCUUCCGGUGUCGUAGCUAACGCGUUAAGUUCUCCGCCUGGGAAGUACGGCCGCAAGGUUGAAACUCAAUGAAUUGACGG
rnacentral:rRNA from 1 species